rnacentral:lncRNA from 1 species
UGACAGUCUGCACUCCAGGGAAGGAUGCUUCGACGAGUGAGGAGUGCUCUCUCUAGUAAGCCACAAGAGUGGUUAGGGCAAGAGUUGGAGAAGCCAUGAGAGAGGUGGGAUGAUUGACUUUGAAGAAAAAAGCAGGGGAGGGAGGAGAAGAAGAAAUGAGAUGGACAAAAAGUGGUAAAGGGAAAGGAACGGCCAAGCGGGGAGUUGGGAAGAGGAAG